GGCACGAUGACCGAGUGGCCUAAGGUGUUUGACUCGAACUACCAUUCGAGGUCUAUCAAAUCUCUUCGGAGGCACAAGUUCGAAUCUUGUUCGUGUCG
rnacentral:tRNA from 1 species